rnacentral:rRNA from 1 species
GACGAACGCUGGCGGCGUGCUUAACACAUGCAAGUCGAACGGAAAGGCCCUGCUUUUGUGGGGUGCUCGAGUGGCGAACGGGUGAGUAACACGUGAGUAACCUGCCCUUGACUUUGGGAUAACUUCAGGAAACUGCGGCUAAUACCGGAUAGGAGCUCCUGCUGCAUGGUGGGGGUUGGAAAGUUUCGGCGGUUGGGGAUGGACUCGCGGCUUAUCAGCUUGUUGGUGGGGUAGUGGCUUACCAAGGCUUUGACGGGUAGCCGGCCUGAGAGGGUGACCGGCCACAUGGGGACUGAGAUACGGCCCGGACUCCAACGGGGGGCAGCAGUGGGGAAUAUUGCACAAUGGGCGGAAGCCGGAUGCAGCAACGCCGCGGGCGGGAUGACGGCCUUCGGGUGGUAAACCGCUUUCGCCGGUGACGAAGCGUGGGUGACGGUAAUGGGGAAAGAAGCACCGGCUAACUACGU